CCCUUAGAUGUUCUGGGCCGCACGCGCGCUACACUGAUGCAUUCAACGAGUCUCUUCCUGGUCCGAGAGGAAUGGAUAACCUUUUGAAAGUGCAUCGUGAUAGGGACAGACUAUUGCAAUUAUUGGUCUUCAACGAGGAAUUCCUAGUAGACGUAGUUCAACAGACUGCAUCGAUUACGUCCCUGCCCUUUGUACACACCGCCCGUCGCUCCUACCGAUUGAAUGCUCAGGUGAGCCAUUCGGACUUUCAUCAUGCUGGUUUCCAGUUUUGAUGAAGGAAAGUCUUGCGAACCUUAUCAUUUAGAGGAAGGAGAAGUCGUAACA
rnacentral:rRNA from 1 species